rnacentral:lncRNA from 1 species
CUACUGCUGCUGCUUGUGCCUGGAAAUUCAGCCAAAAACCUCACAGUUCUUUAAGGAAACGUGAAGCCUGACUCAGUGAAUGCGUGUGACCGUGUGAAUUACUCACCAAAGCCUUUCAGCUGAGUGCUGAGCAGGGAAACCCAGGAGAAUGGAACCUAUUUCUUAUCCUUACUCAAAGACUUCCAAGGAUUACUCCAGAAAUGGCAAUUCCUCUUGAGCAGAAAGAAAUGAAAAAAGAAGUUCGUUCAAAAAUAAGACCAAAGUGAACAUCAUCGUUCAUUUCAUCAGAGUUGGCUUUUUUGUUGAAGCAGAAGUAUAUCCUGAUAAGUAUAAUCAACCUAAUUAUCACUGGCCAGUCUGAGAAAUGAAAAAAAAGUCCUUAACAAAAUAAAUAUCUGACAAAAACAUCCCCCA